rnacentral:rRNA from 1 species
UAGGGAAUCUUCGGCAAUGGACGGAAGUCUGACCGAGCAACGCCGCGUGAGUGAAGAAGGUUUUCGGAUCGUAAAGCUCUGUUGUAAGAGAAGAACGAGUGUGAGAGUGGAAAGUUCACACUGUGACGGUAUCUUACCAGAAAGGGACGGCUAACUACGUGCCAGCAGCCGCGGUAAUACGUAGGUCCCGAGCGUUGUCCGGAUUUAUUGGGCGUAAAGCGAGCGCAGGCGGUUAGAUAAGUCUGAAGUUAAAGGCUGUGGCUUAACCAUAGUACGCUUUGGAAACUGUUUAACUUGAGUGCAAGAGGGGAGAGUGGAAUUCCAUGUGUAGCGGUGAAAUGCGUAGAUAUAUGGAGGAACACCGGUGGCGAAAGCGGCUCUCUGGCUUGUAACUGACGCUGAGGCUCGAAAGCGUGGGGAGCAAACAGGAUUAGAUACCCUGGUAGUCCACGCCGUAAACGAUGCGUGCUAGGUGUUAGACCCUUUCCGGGGUUUAGUGCCGUAGCUAACGCAUUAAGCACUCCGCCUGGGGAGUACGAACCGCAAGGUUG